rnacentral:rRNA from 1 species
GAUGAACGCUGGCGGCGUGCCUAAUACAUGCAAGUCGAGCGAACGGACGAGAAGUUUGCUUCUCUGAUGUUAGCGGCGGACGGGUGAGUAACAUGUGGAUAACCUACCUAUAAGACUGGGAUAACUUCGGGAAACCGGAGCUAAUACCGGCUAAUAUUUUGAACCGCAUGGUUCAAAAGUGAAAGACGGUCUUGCUGUCACUUAUAGAUGGAUCCGCGCUGUAUUAGCUAGUUGGUAAGGUAACGGCUUACCAAGGCAACGAUGCAUAGCCGACCUGAGAGGGUGAUCAGCCACACUGGAACUGAGACACGGUCCAGACUCCUACGGGAGGCAGCAGUAGGGAAUCUUCCGCAAUGGGCGAAAGCCUGACGGAGCAACGCCGCGUGAGUGAUGAAGGUCUUCGGAUCGUAAAACUCUGUUAUUAGGGAAGAACAUAUGUGUAAGUAACUGUGCACAUCUUGACGGUACCUAAUCAGAAAGCCACGGCUAACUACGUG